rnacentral:rRNA from 1 species
GAUGAACGCNGGCGGCGUGCUUAACACAUGCAAGUCGAACGAGAAGUGAAGACGGAAACCUUCGGGCGGAAGACUUUAUUUCGAGUGGCGGACGGGUGAGUAACGCGUGGGUAACCUGCCUCAUACAGGGGGAUAACAGUUGGAAACGACUGUUAAUACCGCAUAAGACCACAGCACCGCAUGGUGCGGGGGUAAAAACUCCGGUGGUAUGAGAUGGACCCGCGUUCGAUUAGCCAGUUGGCGGGGUAACGGCCCACCAAAGCGACGAUCGAUAGCCGAUCUGAGAGGAUGACCGGCCACAUUGGGACUGAGACACGGCCCAAACUCCUACGGGAGGCAGCAGUGGGGAAUAUUGCACAAUGGGGGAAACCCUGAUGCAGCGACGCCGCGUGAGUGAAGAAGUAUUUCGGUAUGUAAAGCUCUAUCAGCAGGGAAGAAAANGAC